GGUUAAGUGAAUAAGGGCGCACGGUGGAUGCCUUGGCACUAGGAGCCGAUGAAGGACGGGACUAACACCGAUAUGCUUUGGGGAGCUGUACGUAAGCUAUGAUCCAGAGAUUUCCGAAUGGGGGAACCCAACAUCUUUAAUAGGAUGUUACGAUUGUGUGAAUACAUAGCACAUUCGAGGUAGACGCAGAGAACUGAAACAUCUAAGUACCUGCAGGAAGAGAAAGAAAAUUCGAUUCCCUGAGUAGCGGCGAGCGAAACGGGAAAAGCCCAAACCAGCAAGCUUGCUUGUUGGGGUUGUAGGACUCCAAUAUGGUAGUUCUUUCAGAUAGUCGAAUGACUUGGAAAAGUCAGUCAAAGAGGGUAAAAACCCCGUAGACGAAAUGUGGAAGACACCUAGGAGGAUCCUGAGUACGGCGGAACACGAGAAAUUCCGUCGGAAUCCGGGAGGACCAUCUCCCAAGGCUAAAUACUCCCUAGUGACCGAUAGUGAACCAGUACCGUGAGGGAAAGGUGAAAAGCACCCCGGAAGGGGAGUGAAAUAGAACCUGAAACCGUGUGCCUACAACAAGUCAAAGCCCGUUAAUGGGUGAUGGCGUGCCUUUUGUAGAAUGAACCGGCGAGUUACGAUUGCAUGCGAGGUUAAGUUGAAGAGACGGAGCCGCAGCGAAAGCGAGUCUGAAUAGGGCGUUUGAGUAUGUAGUCGUAGACCCGAAACCAUGUGAUCUA
rnacentral:rRNA from 1 species